UGCUAAUUCAUGCUGCCUUCUUGGGACCAC
rnacentral:piRNA from 1 species